GACGAACGCUGGCGGCGUGCUUAACACAUGCAAGUCGAACGGUGAAGCGCCUUCCUUGUUGGUGGGUGUGGAUGAGUGGCGAACUGGUGAGUAACUCGUGAGUAACCUGCUCCCUCUUGGUGGAUAACCGCAUGAAAGUGUUGCUAACACGGGAUAUUCUGGGUCUGUUGCAUCAUUGGUCUGGGAAAGUUAUUGUGUCGGUGGGGGAUGGACCCGCGCCCUAUCAGCUUGUUGGUGGGGUGAUGGCUUACCAAGGCGGUGACGAGUAGCCGGCCUGAGAGGGUCGACGAUCCCGGAGGUGCGGCGACGCCGCGAAGACUACGACGGGCAGCAGCAGGGGAGCAUACUGCACGGUGGGAGGCCGGAUGAUGCAGCGACGCCGCGUGAGGGAUGGAGGCCUGAGGGUUGUGAUCCUCUUUCGCGAAUGAAGCAGGGCUGCCUCGUUUAUGGGUGGGUUGACGGUAGCUAGAUAAGAAGCGCCGGCUAACUACGUG
rnacentral:rRNA from 1 species